AUGAGUAUUAUCUUCGUAGCUGUGUCUUACCAUUUAGCUAGCUGUUCGAGCUUCUUGACUUCUUUGGACUAUGAUGCAACGAUACGUUGUCAAUGUGUAAGUGUGUUAUAUGUCAAUGUGCCUUCUGUUGUCACACAGAUGUUACAAGAGUCAAUGAGGUCAUAGUUACGCGUAUUGCUAAGUUUAAACUAUUAUGCAACGAUACGUUGUCAUAUGGUAGCAUCAAGAUCGAGUUUCAUGGUACAUGUUUUGCUCUGUCACUUUAUCUUGACGAGUCUUCUUCCUUCUGUUUACUUUAUAAUCUAG
rnacentral:misc_RNA from 1 species